CUCCGAUACAGUAGGUGGCGGCAUGCACCUUUAACGUUGGUUUAAAUCAAAGAAGAAGAAGAAUCAAUUCAAACCACCAAUAUGGAGUGGCUCCAUCACUCACUCACGCAGCGCACGUUAGUCUUUUGUGGUGUGCCAAGUUCACGGCCUCCAUAUCCUCUCCAUGGACUUCCUCGACUUCCUCGUCAGACUCUUGAUGCCUCAUCUUCACGAUCCAAGCUUCUGUGGUCCGCAUAUGUGGUGUGCGGGAGAGUGCACUGUGCAUGCAGAUGGAAUUGAUAAAAAUAAAUGGAUUAUGUGUGAUGACUGCAAGUCCAAAGAGGAAUGCCAACAAGUCCAUGGAUGGUUUCCGCCACUCUGCAAAAUGCUCAUGAAUGGCCUGCCUUGCAGAGAUUGCAGAAAUUUCUGGCAGAGUCCACUAUCAUCUGAGUAAAGUGAUGAAGACGAUACAAGAAUACCAGGAUAAAAAGUACAGUUUAAAUGAGUUGUAAAGUUAUUAGAGCUCUUUUUGUGGAACAAAGCAGAAGUAAAAUCAUAGUAGUUAAGUCUGUGAUCACUUGUGAUAACUGCCCGUUUGGUCUUUUAAAAUAAAAAUCAUAUUAAGGAUUUUGCCUUGGGUGACAGGUGGGUUUUUCGUGAAUCUUGUUCACCUUGAAACUCAAGAGUGCCCCAUGAGGUCUGUUCUCAGCAGCACUCCAGUUAUCAGAGCACAUAUUCUUGUUAGUUAGUUGUAGUAGUUGUAUUCUAAUUAUUUUGUCUGAACAAAAGUUAAAAACUUAAAGAAGAGUCUGUUUAUGAUAUAACAAGAAAAAAAAAUGCAAAUUCUGACAUUGGAGUGGUGUGGCUUGACCUGAUAAUGGUUUGGUUUGUUUGUUAAACUACGUCUUUAUAAAGGGCAAGACUCAACUUCACUUUAAGAACUCUCAUUAGUGUUAAUUAAAUGGCAGUAUGUUAUAAUGACCCGUGCAGUCUAUUAUCAUCAGGGAAAGGUGCUAUAAGGAGAAGAGGAUGAAAGGUAUAAAAAUAGUUGAACUAGUGUGAAUAAAUCCCUCUGGAUAUUGCAGUUCUCGUGAGUAAGUUGACAUUGCAUUGGAGGCAGGACAGUUGACAUAGGUAAUGUUACCCCCUGGGAAAUUCAAACAAAGAAGUCUUUGUCUUGAUAAUGUUUUAAUUGGAAUUUCAGAGAGACAGACUAAACUAUUGACUGAACCCUCAAGGAUUCUCCUUUACCUUGAAACCUAAAUUGACUUUUAUCUGGAGCCUGUGUUUCUAUUGGCCUUUGUAAUUUGUCAUCAGGGGAAAGUCUUAAUGAGAGGCAAAGGGUUGGAACAAGAGUACAAUGUGGUUUAAAUGAAGUCCUCAAGCUUAUUGUUGCUCAUCUAGGAGAAGGUUAGUCAUGUCACUGUGCUUUAGAGGCAGGGAAGACUAACUACAGUCCUUAACUUACUGUAGGUACAUAUCAAUACUAUUUAUAGUUUUUUAUUUUGAAAUGUAAAAACUGUACAACAAAAUUUUACUCAGUUUAUUCGAAUGUGAGUCCAUGCUAAAUCCCCAAAUAUAUGACCUAUUAAAUAUUACAGAACAGCACAGCUUUUUUGCUGUUAGCCAUGCUGGCAGUCAAACUUUAAAUUUAUCUAUGUAUCACAUACAUGUAUGUGAUAGAAAUGGUUAAUCAAACAUCCCCCAAAACAGGGACAGAACAGCAGAAUUUCCAAUAAACAUUGCAGUAAGUUAGUGAGGAACUGAUAGUUAAUUUGGGUAAUAACACGUGAUGCAAGACCUCUUGAAUAGUCUGUGGUUCUGGGAAAACAAAGGUCAUUUAAAAGGUGACGUGUAACCUUCAGUUUAUUGGACAUUUUCUCAGCAUUAAGAUAAAGGACAGAGGAUUUUUUUUCCCCCUCAAAGCACGUCAAUGCACUCAGAUAAGCAGCUGCAACACUAAAGAUUUAAUGUUUUGUUACAGUGUUGUUUGAGAAUGGCUAUUUGAUAAGACAAUCCUUGAGGAAAAAUAAACUGAUGCAAUCUAUUUUGGAGCAUUUUACAAAAUCAAGAGCAAGAGGUACAUAAACUCUACAAAUUCUGUCAUAAAUGAAGCCCUAUUUCUUCAUUUCAGGCAAUAACUUACUCAUUAAUGUUCUGCAGGCAGCUACAAAGGUAGAUUUGUUCCAAACUAAUAUUGAACCUUAUAAACAAAACACACCAACAACAAAAUAUGGAACAUUUUCAAGAACAAUUGCUUAAAUACUUGACUGAACACUUCUACAACUGCAGGAUAGGCUAUACAAUGUUUUUCCUGCAGCAAAACAAAGCCGUAAUUCCUUUGUAUAUGCUCUCUGUAUUAUGGAUCUGUAUAAAAGCAGCUAUAAAUAUACACCGCUACCGUUUUAUAUCAGGAAGAAUAUUGGAGAAAAACUUGGGGUGACUAAGGGGUUUAUGGGUGUAACAUAAUUUCUGACACUUUGACUGAAGUAUGGUUUCACAAAGGAGGCCUCGGGCCCUGUGAUUAUGUUAUUUAUGGGGCACUAGAUGUUCCUAACAUAAGAUAGAAGUGUCCCAGAAGUCUCUGUUGUUUUUAUACUGAUAACUUGGGAUGGAGACAGUUAUGUUCUGUGUAGGCUGUGCCCAUGGGUACACGCUGCCACAUUGCUUCUCUGUAGACAGAUUUGUUUCUAUUAAACAUAUAUUCAUGUAACAACAACUGGGGCCCAUCGAGUUAUUCCUUUUGUUAUUCAUUUGAGGACAUCUCUUCAGUACCAGUUUUUCUUCAACAAGAAGCAAUGAAAAAAGGUCAUCUUGUCAUAUCUUUAUACAUUGCAAACCCAAAGUUCUACUGUGUCUCAAGGCCAAGUCAAUCAUUGCCAACUUCUGCAUGACAAACAACCCUCAACAUUUCAAGUUUCUAAUAUAAUAAGACACAUUUCAAUAAAAGACACAAUCUAUUCUUUCAUCCUUCAAAUCCUGAUAGUUUGAUCAACUAAUUAUUAAGGUUUAAAUUUCAGAAGCAGUUGUCAUUCAGACUGUAAAUACAGGGCAAAACAAAAGCAUUAUAGCUUAACCCAUUUGUUUAAAUUGGUUUGGGUUUUCCCAUAGUAUUUUUAUAUAUUUAUCAUGCACUGAUUAAACCUGGAAAGAGGAAUACAGACUAUGCCUCCCUUUUCCUUAAAUGGACAGAUUUAUUGGGAUUGGCCAACAGGAAGAGGAAAUUAGUCCGCAAAAUAAUAUCACAGCCCCGCAACGAUACCACAGUUUGAGAUGACUACUAGAGAAGUUCAAAAAGCCCUUUCAGCUGGAUUGUAAAGGCGGUUAUUUAAGAAGGUGGAGUUUAAUGGUUGUAUAGACAGUGCACGUCCUAACAUUUGUUACACAGAACAACAUUCCUGCAUACCAGUUUGUCAGAAGUGUUGUGUAAAUACACAGAGCUGCAUUCAGUUGGUGACAAUAAACCUUAUUUGUAUUUGUGCAGUUACAUACAUGAUAUCCAUGCAUAGACCUGGUGCCUUGGGGCUGACAAUAGGGCUUUUAAUAAUCUAUUAAUAACAUUAUAAUAAAUUCUAAACACAAAUUCAGUAAAACAGACUUUUGCAGGCUUUGCUGGAUUUCCUUGACUAAAAGAAUCCAAAUAUACAAUAGCUGUUCAAUCACAAAUACCAGGACAAACCACACACACAAAAAACAUUUUAAUGUGGGCUAUGUAGGCUCAUAUCCAUGUCCAUAUUUUAUUUACUAAAAAUAAUACGAUAUAUAUUGAAGCACAUAUUAAAACAUAUGUUCAACAUAUUCUAAAUGUAAGAAAUACAUUUGAACAGUAGAACAAAAAAAAAAACACUACUGAAAUAUUUUGCAUAUAUGCUUGAUAUAUGUAAAUAUAUUAUAUUUUUAACCCACGGAAUGCUCCAACCAUCAAGUAUUUAUCUGUAGUGUGCGAUGCGGUUGUGGAUGGUUACACCUACUGUAUGCUGCAAAAGGCUACACGUUUAUAAUUGUUUUAUUUUCAUACAGUAGUGUCACAUGUCACUACUUUAUGAAAGAAUGCAAUUAAUGUUAACUUUGGAACUGUUUAAGUGCUACAGGAAUGUUCUUAGGUUGUUUAAUGUGCCAUGUUUGGUUACAGAAACAGCUACAAACACAAAUGUAGACAACAUGUCAGUAUCCAGGUAUCAUUCUCCCUUUGUUUUUGUGUGAAAGGGAAAACUCAAGUUCGAACUUAACGUCAGACUUUUCUCUUGUUUUUUCAAACAUAGUAUUUGUUUUCUGAAGUCCACAGUCAGGGGCCCACAUCUAAAUACCACUGACUUU